UACGGAGGGGGGCUAGCGUUGUUCGGAAUUACUGGGCGUAAAGCGCACGUAGGCGGCUUUGUAAGUUAGAGGUGAAAGCCCAGGGCUUAACCCUGGAAUUGCCUUUAAGACUGCAUCGCUAGAAUCGUGGAGAGGUAAGUGGAAUUCCGAGUGUAGAGGUGAAAUUCGUAGAUAUCGGGAGGAACACCGGUGGCGAAGGCGGCGAUCUGGGUCGAUACUGACGCUGAGGUGCGAAAGCGUGGGGAGCAAACAGG
rnacentral:rRNA from 1 species